GCACUGCAGCUGGGGGAAAUGGUGAAGGGAGGACUGUUUUUGGCUUCACAGGUCUUGGGGACUCCAAAACCAAGGCCAAGGUGGGUGAAGAUUUUGAGAACACAUAUAAAAUUUUUCUAAGAAUUCUCAGAAGUAAGUGGGGAGACUUUGGGGAGAAAGGUGUCCUGGUGCAGGUGACGGGACUGAACCAGUGGGAUUUGAGUUUCUACUGUCUACACAAAGAAUUGGGCAGCCUGUGGAAAUUUAAGUUACACGUGACUCCCUUCCUAUACCUCCUCCAAAAGAGGCUGCUAAUACUUAUGGACCACCUAUUAGGGUGCCAAGCAUUCUACAGAUCUUAUCUCAUUUAUUCGUUGCGAUAAACCCAAUGCAUGGGUGAGAAAAUUGAGGUUCAUUGAGGGUAAAUAGUUUGCCUACUAAACACAGCUAGUAAAUGGCAGACCUGGUAUUUGAGCCCUAACUUGUUUGACUUGGGAACCCAUGCUUUUUUUACACUAUCUCCUUAUGCUACCUGGUAACAUAAACACAUCUGCAUGUGUGGUUUUGCACAUAUAUACAGUUUGAACCCAGAAAUGGAUUUCAAAUUAAUAAUCUUAAGAAGCUGAAACCAUAACCAUAUUUUGAGUUAUAUGAGAUGCUUAAGUUAUGCAAGACAGUUUUU